UCCAUCUUGCGCGACUGGCGAAGUCAGUGGGCACUACCACGAGGAAGCGCAAGUUCUCUGGCGUGAAGUUUCCAACGCCAUGGCGUUGACGCGAGUCAUGCCUGCCGCUCGCCUGGGCAGCGAAU
rnacentral:ncRNA from 1 species